ACGCGUGGGUAACCUGCCUUAUACAGGGGGAUAACAGUCAGAAAUGGCUGCUAAUACCGCAUAAGCGCACAGAGCUGCAUGGCUCAGUGUGAAAAACUCCGGUGGUAUAAGAUGGACCCGCGUUGGAUUAGCUAGUUGGAGAGGUAAAGGCUCACCAAGGCGACGAUCAGUAGCCGGUCUGAGAGGAUGGACGGCCACAUUGGGACUGAGACACGGUCCAAACUCCUACGGGAGGCAGCAUG
rnacentral:rRNA from 1 species